rnacentral:rRNA from 1 species
AUGGAGUUCCUCAAGAUGCUAUCAAGUGCAUGCUGUUCUCAUUCUCUCUCCGGGAUGAUGCUCGUGCUUGGUAUCGAUCCUUGCCAUCAAGAUCAUUCAGUUGGAACGAGAUAUCACAAGCUUUCUUGGAUAAAUAUUUCCCACUACACAAGCAGUCCGCAAUUCGAGAUGAGAUCCUCAGCUUCGUUCAGUGUGAAGGCGAGAGCUUGUAUGAUGCUUGGGAGAGAGCUGCAGUUAGUUGUUUUUGAUAUUGAGGAGUCACCUUUAGUUGAUAUUGAUCAUGUGCUGCUAGAGCCAGAUAUGGAGAAGUUCACCUUCGAUGAUGUUAGCCGCAUUACUUCCUCAACACUUGAGCCUGAGACGGAGAGCUUCAUGGUUGAGUAUGGUGAGGUGGAUUCAAAUGUCAAGGAGCCAAGCUCUACUAUUUCACUUGUUGAUACGAGUCCGGUUGAAAUUUCUACUACCACACCUCACUUGGUAUCUUCAAUUGAGGUAGUCCUGAAGCUUCUUCCUAACUAUCUCAGGUAUGAUCUUAGCUUUCUGGACAAGACAUGUCAUAUCGCUGAUAUUGCCUAUGCCCCAUGUGACUUGUUGUUGAUACAUGUUCCUGAUUUCAUCAAUAGAUAUACUUAUAUGAUAGGGUACUCUAUCGAUGACUUAGAAGGCAUUCUCUCUGUCACUUGUAUUGGCUUGGUUGUUGAGUGUGCUUUCAGGUUUUUGCUUGUGCACGAUCCAUUACAUGCUGACCAGGUUCGAGGUGACAUUCCUUGGUACCCUGGUGGACUCAGAGCAUGGGGAUGA